rnacentral:lncRNA from 1 species
AUUUUCCCGGGUCGGUUUAGGAAUCUGUGGCCUGUCCGAAUUUCAAAAUUGUGCAACGUUUGACCAGCGAACUUCCCCCCACCAGAAGACAAGGACCGGCGUAGGAGCAUCUGCCCUCGCCUUCUCCUCAGCCGCAUCUCCCACCUACUCGAAAAACCCUUCGCAAAGCAUAAUCACAUUCUCCUCAGUUUUCUUCCCCAAUCCUCUCCGAAUUCUCCCCCUCUCCAUCGAUCUCAGUCCUCUUCAGAAAAUCCCCAGCACGCCAUGAAUUCGACCCUCUCUUCCUCGUCCCCGUUCGGUUUCGCUAAACCUCCUUCCUCCUCGCUCCUCGCCGGCCUCCUC